rnacentral:lncRNA from 1 species
ACUCAGCAACCAGCAUCAUCAAGUCAUCUAUUUCUUCUCUGUCUCUUUUCUUUUCUUCUUGUAGUUCCUUAACACGUCUUUGAGAGUGAUCGAGAUCUUUUCUCAAUGCUUUCACCAAAGACAUGUUUGAUGAAUGUUGUUGUUCAAGGCUCUAAAUCCUAUUAAGUAUCUUAAGUAACUCUGUUUUCUUUUCUCAAUGCUUUCACCAACAACAUGUUUGAUACAUGUUUUUCUUCAAGACUCCAAAUCCUAUUAAGUAUCCUAAGUAACUCCGUUGAUGUUUUAAGGCUGUAGCUUG